rnacentral:rRNA from 1 species
GAUGAACGCUGGCGGCGUGCCUAACACAUGCAAGUCAAGGAGAAGGUAACCUUCGGGAACCGGAUACUGGCGCACGGGUGAGUAACACGUGGAUAAUCUACCCUUUACACAGACAUAACUCAGGGAAACUUGAGCUAAUAUCUGAUGAGGCCUCCGGGUCAAAGCUUCGGCGGUAAAGGAUGAGUCUGCGUCUGAUUAGCUAGUUGGUAAGGUAAUGGCUUACCAAGGCGACGAUCAGUAACUGGUCUGAGAGGACGAUCAGUCACACUGGAACUGAGACACGGUCCAGACUCCUACGGGAGGCAGCAGUGAGGAAUUUUUGGACAAUGGGGGAAACCCGUAGAUCCAGCGACGCCGCGUGUGGGAGUGAAUGGGUUAUGCCCUCGUAAACCAACUGUCAGCAGAGAAGAAAAGGUUACCUUUGGUAACCCGGGACGUGUAUCUGCAGAGGAAGGACCGGCUAACUACGUGCCAGCAGCCGCGGUAAAGUAAGUCGUGU